rnacentral:lncRNA from 1 species
GAGCCCAAUGUACCUGCACCAUUAAGACGAUCUGGUUGAGUACCACGUCAACCGGAUAGAAACUAUGGUUUCUUGGUUCGAGAUGGUGAUCCCAUCGAACUGGAUGAGAACGAUAAGGAUCCAAUCACCUAUAUGGAUGCAAUGCAGAGACCUGAUUUCGAGAAAUAGCUUGAAGCUAUAAAAUUUGAAAUAGAGUCCAUGAAGAUCAAUGAUGUAUGGACAUUGGUUGACCCACCUGAAGGGG